CAUCAACUUUUUGUUGCAAUACUGGGGUGCGAUUCACUAACGCAAAACAUCUUUACAACCAAGAAAUCAUCGUUGUAACAUCAGAUGAAAAGUAGGCGGUAUUCAUUAGUUAAAAAUGCGCGAUCGUAGCGCCUCAACGAUGUUGACGGCGUGACAUAGAACUAACAUUUGGUGCCAAAUGUAUGAAAAUCGGUAUUCAGCAACACGAAACAUCCUCGCCUGCAACGACAACCUCGCCUUCGCCCUCGAUUUUAUCUGUCAAACCGAAAAGCUUGUAAAUUGUGGAUGUUUUCUUGGAUGAAGGCGAUUAAAAUAUGGCAGUUCGUCUUUCCUGUAUGAUUUUUUUGUUGGAAGAAACUAAACAUCAAGAUAAUUAAAUAAAUAAGAAGUCAGGCCUCCGUGAUACGUAUUAUGGAUUUACUAACUACUGAUAGAAACUAUAUUAAGGUUGACUGAAGAACAGAUUAGACAGUGGAAAGAAGAUUUCUCCUUUCCUAACAAAGGCGAAUCGUUAAGGAGGAAUUAGCAACCACACUAAUAUAUUACACUUAAUCGAUAUAAUAUAAAUCAUCAUACAGUACAGUGGAUAGGUGCCUAAAACUUACUGUCCAUCAACCUUUUGUAUGUACUGUCAAUUUUUUGGUUAGUGGGAUUUAUGUACCAGAUAAUGCUAUGUGACAUUGCAAGAACAAUGGCUCACAGGCAUCUGC